UGUGUACUCCCUCCGUUCCAAAAUACUUGACUUCCAUUUGUCCAAAAGUGGAUGUACCUAUAUACUAAGACAUGUCUAGAUACAUAUAUAUUUUGACAAAUAGAAGGCAUGUAUUGUGCAACGGAGGGAGUAGAAU
rnacentral:pre_miRNA from 1 species